GACGAACGCUGGCGGUGUGCUUAACACAUGCAAGUCGAACGGUAAGGCCCUUUCGGGGGUACACGAGUGGCGAACGGGUGAGUAACACGUGAGUAACCUGCCCUCAUCUCUGGGAUAACAGUCGGAAACGGUUGCUAAUACUGGAUAUGAGCUUGCAAGGCAUCUUGUGGGUUGGAAAGAUUUUUUUUGGUUGGGGAUGGACUCGCGGCCUAUCAGCUUGUUGGUGAGGUAGUGGCUCACCAAGGCUUCGACGGGUAGCCGGCCUGUGAGGGCGACCGGCCACAUUGGGACUGAGAUACGGCCCAAACUCCUACGGGGGGCAGCAGUGGGGAAUAUUGCACAAUGGACGGAAGUCUGAUGCAGCAACGCCGCGUGCGGGAUGACGGCCUUCGGGUUGUAAACCGCUUUCAAUUGUGACGAAGCUUUUUUGUGACGGUAGCAGUAGAAGAAGCACCGGCUAACUACGUG
rnacentral:rRNA from 1 species